UCAGUUGAUGAUGGAGUCUGUGCUGCUCUGGGUGAUCGUCCUCGCUCUCCACGGUUCCUAUCACCGUGUGGCUGCCCUGCCCACCUCCACUGUCCAGGUGAGGGUCGGCGAGGACGCCAUCCUGCAGUGCCCCCUGGUGAACGCCGCUAAUGCCUCCAAUGCCGCCACCGCCAACACCACAGCUGCCCCAACUGCCCACUCCACCCUCAGCUGGUACAGAAAGGCAGCAGGACAGGGCCCGCAGCUGCUUCUGACCCUCAGGUCGUUCAAUGGCUCUAACGUGAUGUACGGCGACGGCGUUGGUCCUCAUAAAGUGUCGGCUGCAGCCAACGGCUCACUGCUGCUGCGAGGCUCCCAGCAGAGCGACACAGCAGUUUACUACUGUGGGAUCAGCCGAGGCAACGAGCAGAAGAAUGCACCAAGACCACGGAUCCUCUCAGAGAACUAACGCCAUAGUUAGAGUCUCUUAUUGGUCUGAACUGAAAUAGUUCCAGUUUUGUCUGUUUAGACUGCUUCUCUUGUAGGUUUAGUUCCUCUGAUUUUUAUUUACAAUUAUAUUUCAGAGUGGUAUAGAAGAAUAACCAUGUAACUGUGACUUUACCUGUAUGAUCUGACACAGUUCAAUAAAUGUACCUGAAGUGUGUU